GACGAACGCUGGCGGCGUGCUUAACACAUGCAAGUCGAACGGUGAUGCUCCAGCUUGCUGGAGUGGAUCAGUGGCGAACGGGUGAGUAACACGUGAGCAACCUGCCCCAGACUCUGGAAUAAGCGCUGGAAACGGCGUCUAAUACUGGAUACGAAACUGGCCCGCAUGGGCAUGGUUUGGAAAGUUUUUCGGUUUGGGAUGGGCUCGCGGCUUAUCAGCUUGUUGGUGAGGUAAUGGCUCACCAAGGCGACGACGGGUAGCCGGCCUGAGAGGGCGACCGGCCACACUGGGACUGAGACACGGCCCAGACUCCUACGGGAGGCAGCAGUGGGGAAUAUUGCACAAUGGGCGAAAGCCUGAUGCAGCGACGCCGCGUGAGGGAUGACGGCCUUCGGGUUGUAAACCUCUUUCAGCAGGGAAGAAGCGAAAGUGACGGUACCUGCAGAAGAAGCACCGGCUAACUACGUG
rnacentral:rRNA from 1 species